rnacentral:rRNA from 1 species
GACGAACGCUGGCGGCGUGCCUAAUACAUGCAAGUAGAUCGCCGUUGCGAACGGGUGAGUAACGCGUAGGUACCUGCCUCAUAGCUGGGGAUAACUAUUUGAACCGAUAGCUAAUACCGCAUACUGUAAGAUUGACCUGCCUUGUAUUAUCUCGUUGGUUAGGUAAAGGCUCACCAAGGCGACGAUACAUAGCCGACCUGAGAGGGUGAUCGGCCAGGUGGGGACGGAGACAAGGCCGAGAAUCCUUCGGAAGGCAGAAGGAGGGAAUAUCCGGCAAUGGACGGAAGUCUGGCCGGGCAACGCGGCGUGAGUGAAGAAGGUUUUCGGAUCGUAAAGCUGUGUUGGUAGAGAAGCGGUAACUAACAAGAAAGUGACGGCUAACUACGUGCCAGCAGCCGCGGUAAUAC